AAGUACCUGAGUGUUGUGGAUAGGCUUGGAAUCAACACACUCGUCGAGAUUAAUCAUUUUUUUUUUUUUUUUAUCAAUAGUUUUGGUCAGUUGUGGGCAGGGAUGUGGUGGGGUUGGUGAAAUCAGUUUUGCAAGGAGGGGAGAUGCCGAGGGAGUUUAAUCAUAUUCAUAUUUGUUUAAUUCCCAAAGUUAAGGAGCCACAUUUGGUUAGUGAGUUUCAUCCAAUUAGUUUAUGCAACGUGGUCUGUAAGAUCGGAACAAAUAUGUUAGUGAACCGCUUGAACAGUAUUCUGGGGGAUAUUGUUAAUGAAUCCCAGAGUGCAUUUGAUCUUGGGCGCCUUAUAACGAACAAUAUUCUGAUUGCGUAUGAGGUGUUCCAUCAUAUGAAGGUUAGCGGAAGGAACAGGCGCUAACUCAUGUCCCUCAAAUUGGAUAUGGCCAAAGCAUAUGUCGAGUUGAGUGGUCCUAUUUGAGUGUAAUCAUGCUUCGGUGGGGUUCUCAGCACAUUGGGUAUCUACAUUUAUGUGAUUUGUAACCUCAGCUGCGUACUCUAUUUUGAUUAAUGGAGUUCUUACGGGUUUUAUUUCUCCGACCCAUGGCAUCUGGCAGGGUGAUCCAUUGUCACCGUAUCUCUUUCUCUUGUGUUCAGAAGGCUUGUUUGGGCUCUUGAAUAAUACUGUUUUACAUGCUGAUGUUCAUGGGGUGAGGGUCUGUAGGGCUCCUCCGUUGUCUCACCUUCUGUUUGCUGAUGAUUGUCUUCUUUUUAUGCGAGCUACACUCGAUGAAGCGAGUGCAAUGUCUUUGGCACUACAGCAGUAUGAAUAUCUUUCAGGUUAGAAGGUUAAUUUAUUUUUGAGAAUGUUGUUUUCAAUGCUAAACAGCUUGCUUUUACAGAAUAGUGUAUGCGUGCAAAAUUCCAACUCUGCAUUCAGCGGAUGGUUUAUUGUCUAAUCACUUGGCCUUGGCGGGUGUUUGGCAGUUACCGCCUAAUGGUAUUGUUAAAAUUAACGUGGAUGCUAGUAUCUUGAGUUCAGAUAGUGUGGGCUUAGGUGUUGUUUGCCGAGAUUCUGCUGGCCUUGUAUUAGCUUGUGCUUUUAAAAGGCUGCAUGGUAGUUGGCAACCUUAUGUUCAUGAGGCGAUGACAAUUGUUUAUGGUUUACAACUAGCGUUGGAUUUGUCCUUCUUCUCAGUCAUAGUGGAAUCUGAUUGCAAGCAUUUUAUUGACAGACUUUCUUCGUUCGUACGCCUACGUAAUGGUCUGAGUAUGAUUCUAUCUGAUUGUCUUCAUCUCCAGGUGAGGCUUCAGUCUUGCAGUUGGUCCUUUGCGCAUCGUGAGUGCAACAAGCCUGCUCAUUUCCUGGUCAAGUCUGAUGCGGAUCUUGAGAAUAUAUGUUUGGAUGGAGGAUACUCCCUCUUUUAUUGCCCCUUGGCUGAACCUGAAAGUUUUUUCUUCUUCUUCGAUGUUUUCAAAUAUUUUUUUUAAUUUAUUUUACAAUUCUAUCCUUCCAAUUUUUUUAAGUUU
rnacentral:misc_RNA from 1 species